UGGGGAAUAUUGGACAAUGGGCGCAAGCCUGAUCCAGCCAUGCCGCGUGAGUGAUGAAGGCCCUAGGGUUGUAAAGCUCUUUCACCGGUGAAGAUAGUGACGGUAACCGGAGAAGAAGCCCCGGCUAACUUCGUGCCAGCAGCCGCGGUAAUACGAAGGGGGCUAGCGUUGUUCGGAUUUACUGGGCGUAAAGCGCACGUAGGCGGACUUUUAAGUCAGGGGUGAAAUCCCGGGGCUCAACCCCGGAACUGCCUUUGAUACUGGAAGUCUUGAGUAUGGUAGAGGUGAGUGGAAUUCCGAGUGUAGAGGUGAAAUUCGUAGAUAUUCGGAGGAACACCAGUGGCGAAGGCGGCUCACUGGACCAUUACUGACGCUGAGGUGCGAAAGCGUGGGGAGCAAACAGG
rnacentral:rRNA from 1 species